CCUACGUGUGGCAGCAGUGAGGAAUAUUUGUCAAUGGGCGCGAGCCUGACCCAGCCAAGUCGCGUGAAGGAUGACUGCCCUACGGGUUGUAAACUUCUUUUAUAAAGGAAUAAAGUGAGGCACGUAUGCCUUUUUGUAUGUACUUUAUGAAUAAGGAUCGGCUAACUCCGUGCCAGCCACCGCGUUAAUACGGAGGAUCCGAGCGUUAUCCGGAUUUAUUGGGUUUAAAGGUAGCGUAGAUGGGUUGUUAAGUCAGUUGUGAAAGUUUGCGGCUCAACCGUAAAAUUGCAAUUGAUACUGGCAGCCUUGAGUACAGUUGAGGUAGGUGGAAGUCGUGGUGUAGCGGUGAAAUGCUUAGAUAUCACGAAGAACGCCGAUGGCGAAGGCAGCCUACUAAACUGCCACUGACAUUGAUGCUCGAAAGUGUGGGUAUCAAACAGGAUUAGAUACCCCAGUAGUC
rnacentral:rRNA from 1 species